AAGACAAACCUUCGCCAAAGGAAAAGAAAAGGGGAAGAGAACCAACAUUUAUGGAGCACCUUCCCUGGGCUGGACAUGCAGCAAGGCGCUGUACACAUUGUCUUUUCUCCUUAUUACAGCCCUGUGACGUGGGCAACGUUACCCCCAUUUCACAGAAGUCCCAUAAAAGAAUCCUUGUCAAGAGAAAACACAGCUGGUGCCCAAUUAGAGAGGUGAUUGAGACUAAUCGACCAGGAGAGCUCUUAAUUAAGCUGGACCUCAAGCUGCAAACAGACAGACGGCGGCUGGGGAGCUGAGAUGGCCCCACACGCUCAUGUAAAGGCGGCGGAUGAGAAGGGUACACGGUUUACUUCAGGAGGCAAAGCGUUGGGGAUUUCAGUGACACCUGAAUUUAAGAUUUAAAGGUUGGCUCUGCCAAGCCUGACACCUGAUGUGGGCCCGCUGCUUUCCAUGAGAAGCCUUGGCUCUGGAACCUCUAUUCAGCAGCAUGAUCUGGCUCUUCCGACUGAGGCGCCUGCCUCCUAGGUGAAUGUGAAGAUGAAAGGAGGUCAUAAGGAAUAUCCACUGUUUACCAACUUGUUAUUGGACCUCUGGACACAUUUAUGGAUCCACAUGGCCUGGGAAAGCAGCCAGCAGGACAGACGGGCCUCCGGCACGGCACAGGUACAUUCGUGCAGCCAUCGGCAAUCGUGGGCUGUCUCCAGUUGUAUUUUGACAGCACCAGCUCCCCUGGCAUCUUCUCAGCACCAGUGAUUCAGAGCUGUCAGCUAACGCAGCUGCGAGGAAACGUCGAUGAUGGAUUGAUGGUGUGCAGCAAUGACUUCGUGACCCACAGAUGGAAAAGCAGAUGACUUUGAAAUAAGACUAGUCAAUGUGGCAGGAGG